UACGUAGGGGGCAAGCGUUGUCCGGAAUCAUUGGGCGUAAAGCGCGUGUAGGCGGUCCGGUAAGUCCGCUGUGAAAGUCCAGGGCUCAACCCUGGGAUGCCGGUGGAUACUGUCGGGCUAGAGUACGGAAGAGGCGAGUGGAAUUCCCGGUGUAGCGGUGAAAUGCGCAGAUAUCGGGAGGACACCUAUUGCGAAGGCAGCUCGCUGGGACGUCACUGACGCUGAGACGCGAAAGCGUGGGGGAGCAAACAGG
rnacentral:rRNA from 1 species